AGAUUGAACGCUGGCGGCAGGCCUAACACAUGCAAGUCGAGCGCGAAAGUUCCUUCGGGAAUGAGUAGAGCGGCGGACGGGUGAGUAACGCGUAGGAAUUUGCCCAGUAGUGGGGGACAACUCGGGGAAACGUCGAGCUAAUACCGCAUACGCCCCAAGGGGGAAAGCAGGGGAUCUUCGGACCUUGCGCUAUUGGAUAAGCCUGCGUCGGAUUAGCUAGUUGGUGGGGUAAGGCCUACCAAGGCAACGAUCCGUAGCUGGUCUGAGAGGAUGAUCAGCCACACUGGGACUGAGACACGGCCCAGACUCCUAACGGGAGGCGAGCAGGUGGGGAAAUACUUAGGGACAAGUGGGGGGCAAACCCUGAUCCGAGGCCAAGUGCCGCGGUGUAGUGAAAGAAGGUCCUUAAGGGUUGUAAAAGCAACGUUUCAGUGGGGAAGGAAAAAAGCGUAGGCCGGUACUAAAGUUAACUCCCGGUACCGGUCCCC
rnacentral:rRNA from 1 species